rnacentral:rRNA from 1 species
GACGAACGCUGGCGGCGUGCCUAAUACAUGCAAGUUGAGCGCUGAAGGUUGGUACUUGUACCAACUGGAUGAGCAGCGAACGGGUGAGUAACGCGUGGGGAAUCUGCCUUUGAGCGGGGGACAACAUUUGGAAACGAAUGCUAAUACCGCAUAAAAACUUUAAACACAAGUUUUAAGUUUGAAAGAUGCAAUUGCAUCACUCAAAGAUGAUCCCGCGUUGUAUUAGCUAGUUGGUGAGGUAAAGGCUCACCAAGGCGAUGAUACAUAGCCGACCUGAGAGGGUGAGCGGCCACAUUGGGACUGAGACACGGCCCAAACUCCUACGGGAGGCAGCAGUAGGGAAUCUUCGGCAAUGGAAGAAAGUCUGACCGAGCAACGCCGCGUGAGUGAAGAAGGGUGUCGGAUCGUAAAAAUCUGUUGGUAGAGAAGAACGUUGGUGAGAGUGGAAAGCUCAUCAAGUGACGGUAACUACCCAGAAAGGGACGGCUAACUACGUG